AUGACGUUAUUGUUCAUCCUAAAUGGCAGCAUGCGAUGGCAGAGGAGAUUGCUGCUCUUGAGCGCGCUGGGCACUUGGGAUCUCGUUUUACUUCCUCCCUGUGUUCGCCCCAUCACUUGUCUUGUGGCCCGUGGUUUUCAGCAGGAGCAUGGUCGUGACUACGAUGACACAAUUGCUCCUAUGGCCCACAUUGCCGUUGUUCUCCACUGGUCUGUCUCUCAGCUUGAUAUCAAUAAUGCCUUUCUUAAUGGUAAGUUGAGUGAGGAGGUCUACAUGCAGCCACCUGGGUAUUCUGUUCCUAAAGGCAUGGUAUGUCAUCUUCUUCGCUCUUUAUAUAGCCUCAAGCAAGCCCCUCAUGCAUGGUUUGAGGGCUUCGCCUCUAUGCUCAUUGUUGCUGGUUCUUCGGCAAGUGAUCAUGAUCAUGCGCUCUUUGUCCACCUUCCAUCCCGUGGUCGGACUCUUCUUCUCUAUGUCGAUGACAUGAUCAUCACCGGAAUAUAUACCGAGUAUAUUUCCUCACAUGAUGCACAUGUAUAUAUACUGGCCUAUGGCACCAUGGGAAUACAGGUUGCAUAUCUCCUAACCUAG
rnacentral:rRNA from 1 species